rnacentral:rRNA from 1 species
AUUGAACGCUGGCGGCAUGCCUUACACAUGCAAGUCGAACGGCAGCACGGGUGCUUGCACCUGGUGGCGAGUGGCGAACGGGUGAGUAAUACAUCGGAACGUACCUUAUCGUGGGGGAUAACGCAGCGAAAGCUGUGCUAAUACCGCAUACGCCCUGAGGGGGAAAGCGGGGGAUCGAAAGACCUCGCGCGACUAGAGCGGCCGAUGCCUGAUUAGCUUGUUGGUGGGGUAAAAGCCCACCAAGGCGACGAUCAGUAGCUGGUCUGAGAGGACGAUCAGCCACACUGGGACUGAGACACGGCCCAGACUCCUACGGGAGGCAGCAGUGGGGAAUUUUGGACAAUGGGGGCAACCCUGAUCCAGCAAUGCCGCGUGAGUGAAGAAGGCCUUCGGGUUGUAAAGCUCUUUUGUCAGGGAAGAAACACCGGCUCUAACACAGUCCGGGAAUGACGGUACCUGAAGAAUAAGCACCGGCUAACUACGUGCCAGCCGCCGCAGUAA